GGGGUUCGAGGCGGUUGAGUGAGACGAGACGCGCCCCUCCCACGCGGGGAAGGGCGCCCGCCUGGUCCGGCGAGCGCACGUCCGGUGCUCCCCUCUGGCGGAAAUACUAGGCUUUAGAAUUUCACCAUAUGAAUUUUGGGAGAGAGGAGCACAGUUCAGCCCAUAACUAACACACGACGGAAUGAAGUUGAUAAUAGUGAGACCUUGUUGGUACAAGACUAUGUAACAUAACCUGCGCUUCUCAACAAAGAAUUGCUUUUCUGACUUCUGCACUCAAUAGCAAGACAAAUCUCUCCUCUGCCUUCUCCUUAUCAGACUACUCAACAUGAAGGCAAUAAGAAUGAAGACCUCUAUGUAUAAUAAUUGACUUCCACUUAAUAAAUAAGGUUACUUGGUACACUGGUCGACAAAACCUUGAAAUGUUGAUGUUUAAGGGCUGUUGAUUGCUGGCAGCAAAGAAGUCCAACUGUGCUGGUACCCGAGAUAGCGUCUCCACAUUUUCUUCCAGGAUCAUCACCUUUGUUCUAAAUAGCUCCCACAUAGUGUGAACAGAAGUCAUAUGUUUUAGAUUUUCUGCCUUGGCACCCAGGAAACCAGUAUGAUUGAGUAAACAUAUUAAACUUCCUCUGCAUUUCCAGCCUGAACAGAUGUUGAGUACAAGCUGAUCCACCUACGUUCAACCUGAGAGAGUCCACAUCCACAGACUGUUUCAUUUCCCUUUUUCAAUUUACAUAGAAGCAUAGAUUCUUGCUGGCAUAUACAAAUGCGCCAUUUAAGGCAAUCAAAAAUGGUUCCACAUCUCAUCUGAUUUCCACAAUUGUUGCUGUAACGAUGGACUACUGAGGAGAGAGACAAUUUCUCUGGCACAUCUUCCCACAUUUUAGCAACAUGUUCAUGGAGAGCCAAUAUUCAGUAAUUACAGCCCAAUUCCUCACAAUUUCACAAUUCGCUAACAAUAUGCAUUUUCACAAUGUAAAGCUGAUUUUCCUUUAACCAAAUCAAACAUGAAAAGAUAGCUGCAUGCAAUGGGCAAUCUAGAUCAUUAGAAGAUUGAUGUAAAAUUAGAGGACACUGAGACUGGAAUAGAUUGCAAACUUCAGGGAGCUCAGAAAACUUGUAAACUCUACAUUUUGAGGAAAUAUGUUGUCGAUGCUUUUGCAACUCUAUGCAGUAACUUAACAAAUAAAGCCUUAAAGUAACUUA
ensembl:lncRNA MIR663AHG MIR663A host gene